UACCUGACCAAUAGACAGGGAGUUGUGUC
rnacentral:piRNA from 1 species